ensembl:lncRNA
CACACACACACACACACACAGAGAGAGGCUUGGAGUGGACAACUAACCCCUAAGGGCCUAGCUCUAUGACAUACACCUAAAAUAAUCAAAUGUAUUCAAAAAUAGAGCUCUUUGGCCACGCACACCAAUGUAUUCAGUGGGGCCUGAAAUGAUUGACACCCUUGAAAAUAGAGGUCUUUCGUCAUACACAGCAAUGGUGGGUUUGGCGUCGAUAUGAGAAUGAAUGAGCAGAAAAUAAGCUACUGUAAAACAUGGUGCUGGAUCGUUGAUGUUAUGGGGCUAUUUUGCUUCCACUGGUCCUGGGGCCUUGUUAAGGUCAACAGCAUCAUGAAAUCGACCCAGUACUAGGACAUUUUAGCCAAAAACCUGGUUGUCUCUGCCAGGAGGCUGACACUUGGCCGCAAAUGGAUUUUCCAACAAGACAAUAACCCCAAGCAAAUAUCAAAAUCCACAAAGAAAUGGUUAAUUGGCCACAAAAUCAACAUGUUGAAAUGGCAUUCUCAAACUCUGGACUUGAACUCCAUUGAAAACCUGUUGUUUUAACUGAAGAGGGCAGUACAUCAGGGCAGAUGAAGGAUAUCACAGAUCUGGAAAGAUUCUGUAUGGGGAAAUGGUCUAACAUCCCUCCCAAUGUGUUCUCCCAUUUCAGAAAAUAUUUUAGAAAAAGUCUCAGUGCCGUUAUCCUCGCAAGGUGUACUUCCUGUUCACUCACGACUGCACAGCCAGGCACCAUUAUCCUCGCAAGGUGUACCUCCUGUUCACUCACGACUGCAAGGCCAGGCACCAUUAUCCUCGAAAGGUGUACUUCCUGUUCACUCACGACUGCAAGGCCAGGCACCAUUAUCCUCGCAAGGUGUACUUCCUGUUCACUCACGACUGCAAGGCCAGGCACCAUUAUCCUCGCAAGGUGUACUUCCUGUUCACUCACGACUGCAAGGCCAGGCACCAUUAUCCUCGCAAGGUGUACUUCCUGUUCACUCACGACUGCAAGGCCAGGCACCAUUAUCCUCGCAAGGUGUACUUCCUGUUCACUCACGACUGCAAGGCCAGGCACGACUCCAACACCAUCAUUAAGUUUGCCGACGACACAACAGUGGUAGGCCUGAUCACUAACAACGAUGAGACGGCCUAUAGGGAGGAGGUCAGAGACCUGGCCAUGUGGUGCCAGGACAACAACCUCUCCCUCAACAUGAUCAAGACAAAGGAGAUGAUUAUGGACUACAGGAAAAGGAGGACCGAGCACGCCCCCAUUCUCAUUGACGGGGCUGUAAUGGAGCACGUUGAGAGCUUCAAGUUCCUUGGUGUCCACAUCACCAACAAACUAACAUGGUCCAAACACACCAAGACAGUCGUGAAGAGGGCACGACAAAACCUAUUCCCCCUCAGGAGACUGAAAAGAUUUGGCAUGGAUCCUCAGACCCUCAAAAGGUUCUACAGCCGCACCAUCAAGAGCAUUGGUUGCAUCACUGCCUCGUAGGGCAACUGCUCGGCCUCCGACCACAAGGCACUACAGAGGGUAGUGCGUACGGCCCAGUACAUCACUGGGGCCAAGCUUCCUGGUAUCCAGGAGCUCUAUACCAGGCAGUGUUAGAGGAAAGCCCCCCCCCCCCACUCUUUUACACCACUGCUACUUUCUGUUGUUAUCAUCUAUACACAGUCACUUUAAUAACUCUACCUACAUGUACAUAUUACCUCAACUAACCAGUGCCCCCACACAUUGACUCUGUACUGGUACCUGCUGUAUAUAUUGUUAUUUUACUGCUGCUCUUUAAUUACUUGUUACUUUUAUCUCUUCUUUUUAUCCAUAUUUUUUUUAACUGCA